rnacentral:rRNA from 1 species
UCAGAAGUGCGAAUGCUGACAUAAGUAACGAUAAAGCGGGUGAAAAGCCCGCUCGCCGGAAGACCAAGGGUUCCUGUCCAACGUUAAUCGGGGCAGGGUGAGUCGACCCCUAAGGCGAGGCCGAAAGGCGUAGUCGAUGGGAAACAGGUUAAUAUUCCUGUACUUGGUGUUACUGCGAAGGGGGGACGGAGAAGGCUAUGUUGGCCGGGCGACGGUUGUCCCGGUUUAAGCGUGUAGGCUGGUUUUCCAGGCAAAUCCGGAAAAUCAAGGCUGAGGCGUGAUGACGAGGCACUACGGUGCUGAAGCAACAAAUGCCCUGCUUCCAGGAAAAGCCUCUAAGCAUCAGGUAACAUCAAAUCGUACCCCAAACCGACACAGGUGGUCAGGUAGAGAAUACCAAGGCGCUUGAGAGAACUCGGGUGAAGGAACUAGGCAAAAUGGUGCCGUAACUUCGGGAGAAGGCACGCUGAUAUGUAGGUGAAGUCCCUCGCGGAUGGAGCUGAAAUCAGUCGAAGAUACCAGCUGGCUGCAACUGUUUAUUAAAAACACAGCACUGUGCAAACACGAAAGUGGACGUAUACGGUGUGACGCCUGCCCGGUGCCGGAAGGUUAAUUGAUGGGGUUAGCGCAAGCGAAGCUCUUGAUCGAAGCCCCGGUAAACGGCGGCCGUAACUAUAACGGUCCUAAGGUAGCGAAAUUCCUUGUCGGGUAAGUUCCGACCUGCACGAAUGGCGUAAUGAUGGCCAGGCUGUCUCCACCCGAGACUCAGUGAAAUUGAACUCGCUGUGAAGAUGCAGUGUACCCGCGGCAAGACGGAAAGACCCCGUGAACCUUUACUAUAGCUUGACACUGAACAUUGAGCCUUGAUGUGUAGGAUAGGUGGGAGGCUUUGAAGUGUGGACGCCAGUCUGCAUGGAGCCGACCUUGAAAUACCACCCUUUAAUGUUUGAUGUUCUAACGUGGACCCGUGAUCCGGGUUGCGGACAGUGUCUGGUGGGUAGUUUGACUGGGGCGGUCUCCUCCUAAAGAGUAACGGAGGAGCACGAAGGUUGGCUAAUCCUGGUCGGACAUCAGGAGGUUAGUGCAAUGGCAUAAGCCAGCUUGACUGCGAGCGUGACGGCGCGAGCAGGUGCGAAAGCAGGUCAUAGUGAUCCGGUGGUUCUGAAUGGAAGGGCCAUCGCUCAACGGAUAAAAGGUACUCCGGGGAUAACAGGCUGAUACCGCCCAAGAGUUCAUAUCGACGGCGGUGUUUGGCACCUCGAUGUCGGCUCAUCACAUCCUGGGGCUGAAGUAGGUCCCAAGGGUAUGGCUGUUCGCCAUUUAAAGUGGUACGCGAGCUGGGUUUAGAACGUCGUGAGACAGUUCGGUCCCUAUCUGCCGUGGGCGCUGGAGAACUGAGGGGGGCUGCUCCUAGUACGAGAGGACCGGAGUGGACGCAUCACUGGUGUUCGGGUUGUCAUGCCAAUGGCACUGCCCGGUAGCUAAAUGCGGAAGAGAUAAGUGCUGAAAGCAUCUAAGCACGAAACUUGCCCCGAGAUGAGUUCUCCCUGACCCUUUAAGGGUCCUGAAGGAACGUUGAAGACGACGACGUUGAUAGGCCGGGUGUGUAAGCGCAGCGAUGCGUUGAGCUAACCGGUACUAAUGAACCGUGAGGCUUAACCUU